CCAGAGAGUAAAUCUGAAAAGGAAAAUAAAGACAAAAAUAACUAAUGUGAUAUAAUUUGCCAACUCUGCUACAAUUACUUUUUUUUGCCAUUUGGAUUUAUUUUUCACAUAUUCAGUCUUGUAAAUUACCCUGACUUGCAUCUCAGUAAACUGGUUUGUGUCUGGAUUCUCAGAGUGCCAUAAUUUAAUUCAUCAGUAAUUCAACACUUUUUAAUGCUUAUUGAGAGCUCCCCAGGCCCUCCACUCUGUGCUGUGUUGAAUUAUGAGGAAGUAUUAGCCUGAGCAGCAAUGGGCACCUGUGAUUGGUUGAGAGGGUCAGCUGUUUUUAGCUUAUCAGAGUUCUAACUGACUGUAUGAAGGGUAUGACUACAAGGAAGUGUGCAAUCUCUGCUUUAGCCACACCUCCAAAAGAGGCCAGGGACCCUUUGUAGUGUUAAACUGCUCAAAAAUUGUUU